GACGAACGCUGGCGGCGUGCUUAAUACAUGCAAGUCGAACGGAAAGUCCCUGCUUUUGUGGGGUGCUCGAGGGGCGAACGGGUGAGUAACACGUGAGUAACCUGCCCUUGACUUUGGGAUAACUUUAGGAAACUGUGGUUAAUACCGGAUAGGAGCUCCUGCUGCACGGUGGGGGAUGGAAAGAUUCGGCGGUUGGGGAUGGACUCGCGGCUUCUCAGCUUGUUGGUGGGGUAGGGGCUUACCAAGUCUUCGAAGGGUAGCCGGCCUGAGAGGGUGUCCGGCCACAUUGGGACUGCGAUACGGCCCAGACUCCUACGGGAGGCAGCAGUGGAGACUAUUGCACAGUGGGCGGAGGCCUGAUGCCGCAGCGCCGCGUGCGGGAUGACGGCCUUCGGGUUGUGAACCGCUUUCGCCUGUAACGAAGCGUGGGUGACGGUAAUGUGUAAGGCAGCGCCGGCUAACUACGUG
rnacentral:rRNA from 1 species